CCAGGCCCAUGCCAGCCUCACCGGGCCCUCGCGCUGGCGUUGUCUUGUGCAAGAGUUCGUGUGCGGCUGUCAUGAGUCGCG
rnacentral:pre_miRNA from 1 species